CGAGGAGGUAGGGCUUACGCUUGCGUUUGUCUGUUAUAUCUUGGUGGACGAGUUGUCGCGGUUGGGACUGAGGUGCCUACAACGUGCUUUUGAGUGAGUUUGUGUCUCCGUGUGCGCCGUGUGUGGAUAGCUUGCUAUGUAUGUGCGGUUGUGUGUGGAUUGAUGCGGGCUUUAACUUGUCGCCGUUCGGGACGUUGGCGAAAUGGAGCGAUCCGACCCGUCUUGAAACACGGACCAAGGAGUCUAACAUGUGUGCAAGUGUUAGGGUGUGGAAACCCCAGCGCGAAAUGAAAGUGAAGGGCAGCGCAAGUUGUCUGAGGUAGGAAACGUUGUGGACUUCGGUCUGCGGCGUGGCACUAUCGACCGAUCAUGAACCUUCGUGGUGAAAGAUUUGAGUUUGAGCACAUAUGUUGGUACCCGAAAGAUGGUGAACUAUGCCUGAGUAGGGUGAAGCCAGGGGAAACUCUGGUGGAAGCUCGUAGCGAUUCUGACGUGCAAAUCGAUCGUCAAACUUGGGUAUAGGGGCGAAAGACUAAUCGAACCAUCUAGUAGCUGGUUCCCUCCGAAAUUUCCCUCAGGAUAGCAGCAACUUAUUUACGAUAGUUUUAUGAGGUAAAGCGAAUGAUUAGAGGAUUCGGGGAAGAAACUUCCUCGACCUAUUCUCAAACUUUAAAUCUGUAAGACCUGCAGGUUUCUUAAU
rnacentral:rRNA from 1 species